rnacentral:rRNA from 1 species
UACGUAGGGUGCAAGCGUUAAUCGGAAUUACUGGGCGUAAAGCGUGCGCAGGCGGUUGUGCAAGACAGAUGUGAAAUCCCCAGGCUUAACCUGGGAACUGCGUCGGAUACUGGAUGGCUUGAAUUCGGGAGAGGGAUGCGGAAUUCCAGGUGUAGCGGUGAAAUGCGUAGAUAUCUGGAGGAACACCGGUGGCGAAGGCGGCAUCCUGGACCAACACUGACACUGAGGAGCGAAAGCCAGGGGAGCAAACGGG